rnacentral:tRNA from 1 species
CAGGGAAUAGUUUAAUUUAGAAUUCCAGCUUUGGGUGUUGGCGGUAAAGAUGGGUCUUUUUCCCUGA